rnacentral:rRNA from 1 species
AGAGAGAGACAUGCGCGCAUAUCAAUAAGCGGAGGAAAAGAAACUAACAAGGAUUCCCUUAGUAACGGCGAGUGAAGCGGGAAGAGCUCAAAUUUGAAAUCUUCAAGGUUUUACCUUGAUCGAAUUGUAGUUUAAAGAAGUGUUUUCUGCUGAAGUUUUGGUAAAAGUUCUUUGGAAUAGGACAUCAUAGAGGGUGAGAAUCCCGUAUUUGACCAUUAUUUUCAGCUUUGUGAUACACUUUCAAAGAGUCGGAUUGUUUGGGAAUGCAGUCCAAAAUGGGUGGUAAAUUUCAUCUAAAGCUAAAUAUUGGCGAGAGACCGAUAGCGAACAAGUACCGUGAGGGAAAGAUGAAAAGAACUUUGAAAAGAGAGUUAAACAGUACGUGAAAUUGUCAAAAGGGAAGCGUUUGACACCAGUGUUGUUUUCUCGAAAAUCAAUUAAAAAUGGCUCGAUUUUGUAUUGUUGAGACCUUAAAAGCUCACUGUACAUUUUUCGUGUCUUUUUUAAUGCACUUUUCGUUUAACAAGUCGACAUCAGUUUCUUUUGUUGUAAAAGGGUCAUUGGAAGGUGGCUUUCUUUUCGGAGAAAGUGUUUAUAGCCUUUGGCCUCUGCAAUCGAAGAGACUGAGGUCUGCAGCGUAGACUCUUCGGGGUUAGAUACAUUUGUGCUAAGUUAUAGCUUUUUAUAGACAACUUGUUGACUAUAAUUAGUCUUGUAGCUUACUCGCUUAUGCUAUUUUACCUACGCUUAGGAUGUUGAGUCGUAGAGCACGCAG